AUUCCCUCGAUGAUGACCUGCGUGGAACGACAGCAACAGCAGCAGCAGGAGGGCGCUACCAGGGUGAAGGAAGACAGCCCGCCGCCACACCCUCCCGACAGGUAAGGUCGUGGUGCAGAGCCUCAACACGGCAUCACGGCAGCAGAGUAACAGCCUCCCUGCACACCCCGCUCCUUCCCUGGCCCGAGUACCGACAGCAAGAUCUUCUUCUGCGGGUUAACGAGCUCUUGUGUCACG